CAACUUAAAGAAUCGCUUCCCAGAAGAUCCAUAAAUUCUGGUGGUCAACCACAGUGACCAGUGUGGCCACAGCAGGGACAGAGCAACUCAAAUGCCAGCCCAGGGCUAAACCAUAAAGGGCUGGCAAUACCCAGUGUUGGUGAGGAUGGGACUGGCUAUGCACAAGCCACUCACAAUCCCAUGAUGCUGUGCGGCGCCUACACUCUGUGGCCCUACAUUGGAAAAAACACCAUUUUAUUUCCCCUCCUAUGGGAACCUUUGAGUCCAGCCCUGAGUGUGCAGCGUGCACGUGACCUCCAACGUGGGAGGUUAUCUUGGGAGAAUGUUUUCAGGGUGCAACGCAGCAUCUGGCGUGGCUUACAAGUGGCUCCCAUUUCUGGAGAAUCUGCUGGAGGAAAGGCUGGAUGGGUUCCAGGCUCUAAGGGGAGAUUUGGUCUUUUCCAGGCAUGUGCUUCCUCGUUCCUGCUGCCUUUUGUUUCUGCUUCGAUUCGCCACACAACCGCAGACCAGCAUGGCACAUAAAGACAGUCACCAACACAGCUCCUCGUGACUGGUGUUGAACUGACCUGUCUCAGCUAGGGGUCUAUUGCUGCCGUGAAACACCAUGACCAGAAUGCAACUUGGGGAGGAAAGGACUUAUUCAGCCUACACGUCCGCAUUGAUGUUCGUUAAUGAAAGAAGUCAGGACAGGAACUCAAACGGGGCAGGAUCCUAGAGGCAGGAGCUGAUGUAGAAGCCAGGUGCUAGUUACUGGCUUGCUUGUGGCUUGCUCAGUCUGCUUUCUUAAACAACAAAAGCCUAUCAGCCCAGGGCUAGACUGAGCUAGACCAGGGAUGAACCCACAAUGGACUGGGCUAUCUCCUAUUGACCACUAAUUGAGAAAGUGCCUUGUAACUGGAUCUCGGAGAGGCAUGUCCUCAACUGAGUUUUCUCCCUUUCAGAUGACUCUAACUUGUGACCCCAAACUAGCCAGUAGAUGAACCAACCGUCUUCCUGAGCCUUCAUCAUGAAGGGGCUGAAUUCGGAACGCCUUUCCAACGCACACAUGCACUGUUGCUUUUAGCGACACUGAGGCGCAGAGGCCUUUACAUUUACUGUUCUUCUCGGUACUAAAGGCGGCUCCCUGGCUUCCUCAACGGCCAACCUCCCCACGGCAGUGCCAGCCAGACGUUUCUGGAAAACACUGACUGGAGAUUCUGGAACCAAAAAAAAUCUCAAAGCAAGGUGGGGGCUACACUCUGGCUUUCUUCCUCGUAUAAACCUCCUCCACCCCUGGAAAAUAUGGCAAGAGGCAGCCAGGGACUAUAACACAGUCCACUCGGGAGUCAGCAGACGUAGGCGCUAUGCCAGCCAGGGAUGUGCUUUAGGGAAGUGGGGGGACCAGUCCCCUCUUCUGGCAUGGUCUCCGCGCUCAGUGUGGAGUAUGGUGACGGUCUCAGCCACUGAAUGGGCAGAGUGGAUUCAUAGUAAAGAUGAAGCUAACUCUGCUCCCUAGUUAUAUUGGGGAGCUUCCGUAAUGCCCCCUCCCACAAUGUCCCACCACAGCAGCAUAAUUCUGACAGCAGUUUUGCAGGCAAGUUCCUCCGAAUUGGCCUGGGGAGAACUUGGCACCAUUGCAAAAGCAGCAAAAGGGGCAUACUCUCUUCUCCAGUCUUUUGCCCUGAACUCGCAGAUAGAAUGUCUCUUCUCCUCCAUCUCCUACUUUCCACAAUGUGGGGACAGCAUUUACCCUUCUCCCCACCAUCUCUCACCACCUGAGGACACAGCAAGCUGUCCCUCACUAGAUGCCAUACCUCGAUCUCAGACUUGUAGCCUCCAAAGCGGGGAGGCGCACAUGGGCUUUGUAAACUCGUGGUAUUUUGUUAUAGCAGCAAAAACAGGCUAAGACUGUCCCAGAAAUAUCCAGGGCCCCGCCUGGAGGCCACACAGCUCACAGUUCUCUAGUGAUACCCACAGGUCUGCCUCCCACAAGUACUAAGAAAACAGCAUGCUGAAGUCCAGACCCCAUCGCAGGUCACAGGGGGGCUACAACGGGACAGAGCUGAUGGGUGAGGCUUUCCUCGGAUGUGUGUAUGCAGACUGAGGGAACAAAUGUGCCAAGUCACAAGUCUUGGAGCCCUCAAACUUGACUCAGAUUCUAGUCAUUUCCUAUGAAAGCAGUAUGGCCCAGGAGGUCCAGUGAGCUCGGGGACAGAAACGAGAGACCAGAAAAGGAUCUCAGGAGAUGAGCAGAACCCAGUCAAGGAUCUGGGGUAGCAGUGUUCUCUAAGCAUGUCUGCAGGGAGUCUUCUAUUCAUGUCACAAGUCUGUGUGCUGGAAGGGGGUGGAAAAUAACUUUUUUCUUGUCUCAAAAUGUUCCAGAACAAGAGGAGCUGUGUCCAGAACCACACACUUAACCAGGUACUGUUCACGCCACCUGGACUUGAUUGGGGACCAGUGCCUUGAACGGGAGGAGGCUGAAACUGUAACAGGGUGGCUGGGGAGGUCUUAUGGAGAGGGAUGUGAGCCACUUUUGUCUAAAGAGCUGGUCCAGACCCCAAACUUCCUGAGAGACGCCAUCCCUGUGGCCUGCAAGCAGGGUACCUGGUGGUAUUCGGUCAGAGCUGUUCUGCACUGACUUGUUAACCAGAGAAGAAUUUCCAAGCCCCAGAGACUACUCCAGCUAACAAAUGGCUGUGUUUACAGCUAGAAAGAGGAGUCUCAGGAGAUAAGCCCUAAGAAAAAAUGGUCAAACUGCAGGCCCCGGAAUACAGACAUGUGGGAAGUGUCGGCCUGUAACGCAGACAUGUGGGAAGUUUCAUCUCUUGGAAAGGCAAGAUGACAAGAAACUAAUGGACUCUAUUCUGGAGAAUCCAGAGGCUGAGUCAGCUUACACCAGAAAGAACCCCAGGGGAUAUCGGCGGUCAGCGGGAAGGGACAGAGAUGGGGCUGUCAGUUUCUAAAUCAGAUUCCAAAGGGGGGGGAGGAUAGAUUUUUUUUGUUGUUGUUGUUCUUUUUUUCGGAGCUGGGGACCGAACCCAGGGCCUUGGGCUCACUAGGCAAGCGCUCUACCACUGAGCUAAAUCCCCAACCCUGGGAAAAUAGAUUUUAAAACAUCCAUCAGCCGUCGAGAACAAAAAGAAAAAAGAAAAAGGCAAGGGGUGGAGAAACCCCAAUACAUCGUAAUCCCCAAAGCAGAAAGUUUAUCUUUAAUAAAAGGUUUAAAAUGUGUGAGAAAUUACGACGACUUUGUAAGUAGAGGAAACUCACAUUUUGAAAGUUAGGAUGGACGGGUCAAGUCACGUUCACACGAGGUAAUCUAAAACACACCUACAAGCCAGAAGAGAAUGGCAGGCCAGGUAAACACAGGCAGGACAGACGGUUUGCCUGGGAAGACUACACUAACCUAGGGUUUGAGACCAGAGGAAGCCACCAGGAAAGAGGUGAGGCGCUCUGCUGUCCCUAAGUCACCAGAACCCUGAGCUGAGCUUCAUCCUUCCCAGGGGAGACCUCGUACCCUCUGCAAAGUGGGGCUUCCAGAUGCCCGGGAAGGUGCAAACACCAUAACAUGCACCAGGUUUCUGUGGCUACGAACGGUUGAUGAAUUCCCGUGAUCAGAGCCAGAACAUGUCCUCCUGUCGCUACUCGUAAUACUUUAUGUUCUGAGAGAAGUUUGGAUUUUACUAAGUGCUAUUCUUUUUAGAUCUGCUAAAACUCUGAUGUAGAUUUUCUUUCAGUCUGCCCCCCGGGGUCUGACGAGUUGGUACAUAUUUUGGUGUUAACAUAAACCAAAUUUCAGUGAAGGGCCUUCUCUUUGGGGAAUUGGGGAAGGAAACAUGAGAGCCAAGACAAAUAGAACAAAACUCUGCCACCUGCCAACGGGAAGAGGCAGGCCCAGACCUUAGACAGUUCCCCGGAUUCUGCGUGUUUCUCCAAUGCUUAAACGCAAUUUCUGACUUUAUACAGAGUUGCGGCGUUUAAAAUCACCGAGAACGUUUCCCAAGAUGUGGUAGAGAGUCCGACAUGAAAGGCAUCUCUGAGAGAAAAAUUAAAGCAGACGAAAACCUAAUCUCCUCGCUAAAUCUCUCCCCUCCCCACAGAUGUGACCGCAGCAAGGCCAGCUCCAACUGAUGACGCCCCCAAGGGCAGGAAGGCGAGGCAGAGGCUGUGGGAACUUUGAGAGGCCGAAGAUCCAGCCUUAUUAUCUGCUGGUUACCGGGUUACAGAAUUCCCUCAAGUAAUUUUUUUAAAGAAGAAGUGGAGUAUCAAAUCUUUAAAUGUGUCAUGACAACCCACGAAAAUAGUUUACACACGCCUCCUGGUUUUAACGAAAGCCAGGCAUCAUGAACAGAGGACGCUCUGCCUGCCUCGUAUCAGGCACGGGUCUACGGCCUGCCCCCCAGUCCUCAGUCACCGCCUGCCACCCUGUGGGUCUCCUUCUUCCCCUCUUGGUUCUAGAACUCAGGUUCUGCUAGGGGUCCAUGAGUUCUGUCUCCCCUGUGAGACGGGCUUCCCUCUGAUGACCAAUACCUAUGGCCUCAGGCGUAGUAGGUUUUAGAGACCUACUAUGUGGUAGGCAAGGGAGGGCAUGACCUCCAAGUAAGAAGAUAACUUUAGAAUGACACCCCGCAUGCUGGCAGAGUGUGCAGACAAGGCACCCACAACUGAGGACAGAGGAGAUCCCACCCCGCCCCUCCUAGUCCAGAGCUCCCACAUUAGGCUCUAAGGCUCCCUGAGGAAGCGGCAAAAGAUGAGUUCUGUCCCCAAGAAGCGUCAUCUGGAUGGAACAUGUGGUCCAGGCUGCUGCACUGUGCCCCCAGCAGUUCCUGCUUGGCGGAAUCAUUGCCACAUCUCUGACCCAGGGCAGGGCGGCCCGUGCGUUGACGAAACUUGAUGCCAGUGUGGUUGACUGAAACCCCUCACUUGCAGCUACCUCUGCUGUCAAAACACCACCUCCUCAGGACCUCUCUGUGGCUCCUCCCUGGCCAGGUGCUGCCUACGCAUAAGGCCACUGGGUUGCCUGCUGUGGGAAGAGCUAUGAAGAACGAUAACCACAGCCUGUGUCAAGUUGACGCAAAAUCGGCCAGCACACCCUACCCUUGCUUGGCCCUCAGAAUUGUCUAUGGAUCCUGCUUUGGGAAAACCAAGGAUGAAGUACCUACGGGAUGUGUAAAUCCACCAUGAGGUCCCUCAGGGGGGAAUGUCCCUACAAGGUUGGAGGCUUCUGCUGCUGCUGGAUUCCCAUCCAUCUUUGACAGCUCUUCCUCCAGGAAUGUGAUGUGGAUCCAUCAUCAGGACCACACCCGUCACUUAACACUUCAACCCAUUAAAACUAAAGUUAAUGAACA